rnacentral:lncRNA from 1 species
CUCAGAAAAGGCGCUGCUCUGGUCUUCAUAGUAUUUCCUACACAACAUCCUCCAUCAAAGCAGAUGUUUGGAAAGAAAACUCCUUAGUCAGCAGCCCUGGAAAGCUUCACAUUUAGAGAAAUCUAGACUCUUCUUUCCCACCCCAAGUUUCUUUGGUUUUGCGGCUGGAACCUAACAUCUGUGAAGCAGGCAGGACCUCAUGGGCCCUGUGUCACCAGACACCUGUUGACAGGAUGCCUUCAGGGGUAGAAAAUCUGGGCAGAGCCCAGCAGUGACAACUGGUAUUUAUCCAAUAUCAGCUUCCACCCACCAGGAGAUGGAUGGGCAACUGGCCCCAAGAGAGGAGCAAAGACGAGAAACGGCCAUCCGUCCUAACUCGGAUGCUGGUGGGGACACACCAGGAAUCCCUUUCCCGAAUGAAUGACAGGAGAGCCAAAGGUGCUUGAAGACAUGACGAUUUUCCCAGCUUAAGUGGAGCAUCUGCCACCGUGGUACCUCCAUGGAGCUGACCUCUGAGGAAAGGGUCCUUCCGGGUCCUUCCAGGCACUUUCAUAAAAGGCGACACUUGUCAGUGUGCCCAACUUUCAGUUACCUUGUGGUGUGCUUCUGAAGGAUUGCAAAAGAAGGGGAAGAGCCAUUAUUUUAAAUAAUCAUUUCAACAUGGAGCUUGGUGGGGAACAAAGAACGUACUUGGAGUUGCAGCUCGUGGGCCCUAGUGGCGCUUGGCUUUCCUCGUAGCUGCCCCCAAGCAUCACCAACCCACCACAGAGGAAGCCUGAGCCCUCGAGGGCCACAGACGACGUGGCUUGAACAUCGCUCCUAGGGGAGAAACAGGAAAGAGGCAACCAGAGUUUGAAUCCCGGCACUGCCACCUCAUAAGUGUGAGACUAUGAACCAGGCUGUAAGACGGGAUAGGAGUUAACGAAAAAGACACCAAAACAGGCUUCUUAGGAGAAUUAAAGAGAGAACUUGUGUUAAACACUUAGUGUGACAUUUGGAAAUACUAAAUGCUCG